rnacentral:rRNA from 1 species
AACGAACGCUGGCGGCAUGCCUAACACAUGCAAGUCGAACGGGAUCCUGGCUUCGGCCAGGUGAGAGUGGCGGACGGGUGAGUAACGCGUGGGAACCUGCCCAUUGGUCUGGGAUAACUGCGGGAAACUGCAGCUAAUACCGGAUGUACCCGAGAGGGGAAAGAUUUAUCGCCGAUGGAGGGGCCCGCGUCAGAUUAGGUAGUUGGUGAGGUAACGGCUCACCAAGCCUACGAUCUGUAGCUGGUCUGAGAGGAUGGUCAGCCACACUGGGACUGAGAUACGGCCCAGACUCCUACGGGAGGCAGCAGUGGGGAAUAUUGGACAAUGGGGGCAACCCUGAUCCAGCAAUGCCGCGUGAGUGAUGAAGGCCUUAGGGUUGUAAAGCUCUUUUACCAGGGACGAUGAUGACGGUACCUGGAGAAU